CCAGCCAGCUGAUACGACGUAUCGUUGGUUUUAUUUUUCUUAAAUAUAUGCUUCGAUACACGCGAAGGUUUUAAACUAUUGUGCUUAAGAGUGAAGUGUUGGUGUUAGUUACUAUAGUGAUUGUAAUAAUUAUUCUUUGAUUAUUAAUAAUUAUGUAAAUAUUUUAUUACUUAAAAGUAUUAAAGUACUUAAAAGUGUUAAAAUAAUAAUAGAUAAACUCUUAGUGUUUAUGUGCUGAAAAGACUUGUGACGUGGGACUCGAAUCUUACUCUAUUUUCAAAUGGAACUGUCGAGACUCCGUUAACUGCUAAUUAAAGGUAAUGUUGGCGUUGUUCCAAAUAGCAAAUUGCGCUGCCUUUAACGAAUAAUGAACAACUAAUGCAAUCCGCCGAUAACGAGGUAUG